rnacentral:rRNA from 1 species
GUCGAGGGGCAGCAUGGUCUUAGCUUGCUAAGGCCGAUGGCGACCGGCGCACGGGUGAGUAACACGUAUCCAACCUGCCGUCUACUCUUGGACAGCCUUCUGAAAGGAAGAUUAAUACAAGAUGGCAUCAUGAGUCCGCAUGUUCACAUGAUUAAAGGUAUUCCGGUAGACGAUGGGGAUGCGUUCCAUUAGAUAGUAGGCGGGGUAACGGCCCACCUAGUCUUCGAUGGAUAGGGGUUCUGAGAGGAAGGUCCCCCACAUUGGAACUGAGACACGGUCCAAACUCCUACGGGAGGCAGCAGUGAGGAAUAUUGGUCAAUGGGCGAGAGCCUGAACCAGCCAAGUAGCGUGAAGGAUGACUGCCCUAUGGGUUGUAAACUUCUUUUAUAAAGGAAUAAAGUCGGGUAUGGAUACCCGUUUGCAUGUACUUUAUGAAUAAGGAUCGGCUAACUCCGUGCCAGCAGCCGCGGUAAUACGGAGGAUCCGAGCGUUAUCCGGAUUUAUUGGGUUUAAAGGGAGCGUAGAUGGAUGUUUAAGUCAGUUGUGAAAGUUUGCGGCUCAACCGUAAAAUUGCAGUUGAUACUGGAUAUCUUGAGUGCAGUUGAGGCAGGCGGAAUUCGUGGUGUAGCGGUGAAAUGCUUAGAUAUCACGAAGAACUCCGAUUGCGAAGGCAGCCUGCUAAGCUGCAACUGACAUUGAGGCUCGAAAGUGUGGGUAUCAAACAGGAUUAGAUACCCUGGUAGUCCACACGGUAAACGAUGAAUACUCGCUGUUUGCGAUAUACUGCAAGCGGCCAAGCGAAAGCGUUAAGUAUUCCACCUGGGGAGUACGCCGGCAACGGUGAAACUCAAAGGAAUUGACGGGGGCCCGCACAAGCGGAGGAACAUGUGGUUUAAUUCGAUGAUACGCGAGGAACCUUACCCGGGCUUAAAUUGCAGAUGAAUUACGGUGAAAGCCGUAAGCCGCAAGGCAUCUGUGAAGUGCUGCAUGGUGU